GAUGAACGCUGGCGGCGUGCCUAAUACAUGCAAGUCGAGCGAACAGAUGAGGAGCUUGCUCCUUUGACGUUAGCGGCGGACGGGUGAGUAACACGUGGAUAAUCUACCUAUAAGACUGGGAUAACUUCGGGAAACCGGAGCUAAUACCGGAUAAUAUAUUGAACCGCAUGGUUCAAUAGUGAAAGUCGGCUUUGGUGUCACUUAUCGAUGGUUACGGGCGGCAUUGGCUAGUUGGUGAGGUAACGGCUUACCAAGGGAGCGAUGCGUAUCCGACGGGAGAGGCGGAUAGGCGGCAUGGGAGCGUAGCCAGGGACAAGAGUACUACGGUAGGGAGCAGUCGGGAAUGGGCCGCAAUGGGCGAAAGCCUGACAGAACGACGCCGCGUGAGUGGUGAAGGUCUUCGGUUCGUAAAACUCGGUUAUUAGGGAAAAACAAAUGUGGAAGUAACUGUGCACGUCUUGACGGUACCUAGUCAAGAAGCCACGGCUAACUACGUG
rnacentral:rRNA from 1 species